AUUCCAGCUCCAAUAGCGUAUAUUAAAGUUGCUGCAGUUAAAAAGCUCGUAGUUGGAUUUGUGGCGCGGCCGUCCGGCACGGAUCCUUCAUUGGGCCCGUUUGUCCGGUUUUUCGGCCGCCCCAUUCUCGGGUAGUGUGUCGCUGGCAUUAGGUUGUCGGCUUCUUCACGCCCGUCGUUUACUGUGAAAAAAUUAGAGUGUUCAAAGCAGGCUUAGGCCGUUGGAUACAUUAGCAUGGAAUAAUGAGAUAGGGCCACGACGGUCUAUUUUGUUGGUUUGCACGUUGUGGUAAUGAUUAACAGGAACGGUUGGGGGUAUUCGUAUUCAAUUGUCAGAGGUGAAAUUCUUGGAUUUAUGGAAGACGAACUACUGCGAAAGCAUUUACCAAGGAUGUUUUCAUCA
rnacentral:rRNA from 1 species